rnacentral:rRNA from 1 species
AUGAACGCUGGCGGCGUGCCUAAUACAUGCAAGUCGAGCGAACGGACGAGAAGCUUGCUUUUCUGAUGUUAGCGGCGGACGGGUGAGUAACACGUGGAUAACCUACCUAUAAGACUGGGAUAACUUCGGGAAACCGGAGCUGAUACCGGAUAAUAUUUUGAACCGCAUGGUUCAAAAGUGAAAGACGGUCUUGCUGUCACUUAUAGAUGGAUCCGCGCUGCAUUAGCUAGUUGGUAAGGUAACGGCUUACCAAGGCAACGAUGCAUAGCCGACCUGAGAGGGUGAUCGGCCACACUGGAACUGAGACACGGUCCAGACUCCUACGGGAGGCAGCAGUAGGGAAUCUUCCGCAAUGGGCGAAAGCCUGACGGAGCAACGCCGCGUGAGUGAUGAAGGUCUUCGGAUCGUAAAACUCUGUUAUUAGGGAAGAACAUAUGUGUAAGUAACUGUGCACAUCUUGACGGUACCUAAUCAGAAAGCCACGGCUAACUACGUG